rnacentral:rRNA from 1 species
AUUGAACGCUGGCGGCAGGCUUAACACAUGCAAGUCGAGCGGGGUGAUGGUGCUUGCACUAUCACUUAGCGGCGGACGGGUGAGUAAUGCUUAGGAAUCUGCCUAUUAGUGGGGGACAACAUCUCGAAAGGGAUGCUAAUACCGCAUACGUCCUACGGGAGAAAGCAGGGGAUCACUUGUGACCUUGCGCUAAUAGAUGAGCAUAAGUCGGAUUAGCUAGUUGGUGGGGUAAAGGCCUACCAAGGCGACGAUCUGUAGCGGGUCUGAGAGGAUGAUCCACCACAACGGGACGGAGACACGGCCCAGACUCCUACGGGAGGAAGAAGUGGGGAAUAUUGGACAAUGGGGGGAACCCUUAUCCAGCCAUGCCGCGUGUGUGAAGAAGGCCUUAUGGUUGUAAAGCACUUUAAGCAAGGAGGAGGCUACUUAGAUUAAUACUCUGGGAUAGUGGACGUUACUCGCAGAAUAAGCACCGGCUAACUCUGUGCCAGCCGCCGCGGUAAUAC